rnacentral:rRNA from 1 species
UACGUAGGGGGCGAGCGUUGUCCGGAUUCAUUGGGCGUAAAGGGUGUGUAGGUGGCGCCGUAAGUCGGGUGUGAAAUUUCGGAGCUUAACUCCGAAACUGCAUUCGAUACUGCGGUGCUUGAGGACUGGAGAGGAGACUGGAAUUCAUGGUGUAGCAGUGAAAUGCGUAGAGAUCAUGAGGAAGACCAGUGGCGAAGGCGGGUCUCUGGACAGUUCCUGACACUGAGACACGAAGGCCAGGGGAGCAAACGGG